rnacentral:tRNA from 1 species
GGCGGGGUAGCCAAGUGGUAAGGCCGGAGUCUGCAAAACUCCUAUGCGGCGGUUCGAUCCCGCCCCCCGCCU